GUCCACGCCGUAAACGAUGGGUGCUAGGUGUGGGAGGUGUCGACUCCUUCCGUGCCGAAGCUAACGCAUUAAGCACCCCGCCUGGGGAGUACGGCCGCAAGGCUAAAACUCAAAGGAAUUGACGGGGGCCCGCACAAGCAGCGGAGCAUGUGGUUUAAUUCGACGCGACGCGAAGAACCUUACCAGGGCUUGACAUGCACUGGAAUGUCGUAGAAAUACGGCAGCCCUUCGGGGCCGGUGCACAGGUGGUGCAUGGCUGUCGU
rnacentral:rRNA from 1 species